GGGCACAGUGGGGAUUUGGGGCUGAGCAGCACUGGCCACAUUUUGGCCAGGCUGGGCUGGAGCAGGGGGCAGGAGGGCAGUGAUGAGACACAAGGUACAGCUGUAGGGGCUCAUUUAGGGGGAUUUACAGCACCUGGCUAGAAGAGAAGAUUCCCACACUCACCUAAGCCCUGCAGGGCUGUCUGCUUUGGAUGCUGUAUCAGACUGUGGCCUUCUCCUGAGCGGCUUUGUUCUCCUCCCCGGUGCCGUGGCGGACAGUUUUCCUCUCCCCGUGGAAAGUUUGAAGAAAGACCAGCCCUGCUCGCCUGCUUCCCCUUGUGUUGCGGUUGCUGACCCCACACUGGGUGGCAAGAUGCAGUGGGAUGCAGCAGGCGGUGUUCUGAGCACCACACAGCCCCGUGGGUGAUGGGAGCCUUCACUUCCCACAUCCUUUUGGCUCAGGCUCGGGGGCUUUGUGGCAGUGCCACGUGCCAGUGAGGCUACUGUGAAUUGGCACCGCCGGGGUUUCCCCGGCCACACCAGCGGUUUGGGCUGCACAGAUGAAGCUGGUUUUUGGUGUUUUCUUUCCUGGUCUGAUUUCACACUGAUGGUGGUUUGGUGCCAAACCCUACUGCUUGGAGGAUGCUGGUGCUGCCUCCAUUAUAUUGCUUGUGCAAAGGGGACAUUUGGGACCUGGCAUAACAGAAGGGGAAAAAUGGGCCCCAUGUUGAGUGGGAGAAUAGGAUGGAGGCUUUCUGGGUAAGGCCUGGAUUUGGCUUUGUAUUGGCACAAGAGGGGAAAUGUUCCUUCCAAAAGGUUCGGGGGUACCUGGGUCUGAAUGUGGUCCUGUUCUGGCUCCGCAGUAAUUCCCUGAAGCACCACUUGUGCUCAAACGUGCUCCCUUGCAGACCUCAGUGCUUUCCACCCACGGUCAGUGUGCCUUGCUUGUUUUUCUGCUUUCCUGCUCUGACUGAUGUGCUUGGAGAGGAAGAGCAGGGCUGGGCACUCCUGCAUGCUGAGAACAGCCAUCCUCAGCCGUUCUCCUGUGCCGCUGGUCUGCUGGCUCUGAGCAGCAGCCGUGGUCAAGCCUCAGACUCACUUCAGGCACAGGUUGAGAACGUGGCAUCCUCACCAAAGAGUUAAAAAUACCAGCAUGCAGGAGGUCUUGUCCAAGUGGUAGACCAAAGGAAAUCCUGUCACCACACCUAAUCCCCAGAAGAAAAAAAAAAAAGUCUCAGGCAGGAAAUGACUUAUCUACAGCAACCAACUGGUGCAAUGGAGAAGAGCAAUUUCUCCAUAAAGCAUCCCUGUUAGCAGAGUCCAUGUGGGACUUGAGGGAUGGAAGUGCAUCACCCUGCCCCAGGACCACCUCCCUCCCUGCUGUGGGGCCAUGCAAUGGUGGGAGUGACAGUCCAACUGCCAGCGUGACCAUUCACACAAGCACCCCCCGGUGCCCUGUAGACUGGGGGUGGGUGGGUGAUGAAGCUGUGGUGUUUUGAAAUCUUUUCUCAAAUCAGGAAUGCCCAGAGCAAGUGUUGGCUUUGCUUUCAUUCUAAUGUUUGCUGAGAGCUCAGUGAGGUUUUCGUAUGUACCCUCUUGCUUCCCCGGGUGCAGCCCCAGAGAGAGGUGAGACAGACACAAAGGAAGCAGCACUGAGGGCUAAGAAGCAAUUUUUAUCCUUCUUUAUUUGUUGAAAAUGUCAAUUAAAAAACUGUUCAAAAUAAAAACAUGUUAGAAAAGUUGAACUUGCAUAAGUAGUUACAGUAAAUAAACCUACAUGACAAAGAUAAACUGGAAGGCAGCUGACACAACAUCCAUCUAAAGACGGACUCACUGGAACCUAUUUACAAAGCACUGUAAACAAAGUAAAUAUGGAAACAUUGCUGUCCAUCUGGCAUGGCUUCUUUUCCUUUUUAUUUUCUUUUCUUUUUUUUUGGCUUCUAGCUCUUGACAAGUGCCUGAUCCAAAGUGUCCCAGUGUGCCCUGCAUCACAUUACAUCUUAGAAACAUGCAUAUG